GACAAGGUUCCAGGCCCUACGGGGUGCAGCAGGCGCGAAACCUCCGCAAUGUAAGAAAUCGCGACGGGGGGAUCCCAAGUGCCAUUCUUAACGGGAUGGCUUUUCAUUAGUGUAAAGAGCUUUUGGAAUAAGGGCUGGGCAAGACCGGUGCCAGCCGCCGCGGUAACACCGGCAGCUCUAGUGGUAGCAGUUUUUAUUGGGCCUAAAGCGUCCGUAGCCGGUUUAAUAAGUCUCUGGUGAAAUCCUGUAGCUUAACUGUGGGAAUUGCUGGAGAUACUAUUAGACUUGAGACCGGGAGAGGUUAGAGGUACUCCCAGGGUAGAGGUGAAAUUCUGUAAUCCUGGGAGGACCGCCUGUUGCGAAGGCGUCUAACUGGAACGGUUCUGACGGUGAGGGACGAAAGUUAGGGGCGCGAACCGGAUUAGAUACCCGGGUAGUCCUAACUGUAAACGAUGCGGACUUGGUGUUGGGGUGGCUUUGAGCUGCUUCAGUGCCGAAGGGAAGCUGUUAAGUCCGCCGCCUGGGAAGUACGGUCGCAAGACUGAAACUUAA
rnacentral:rRNA from 1 species